CAGGCUUAACACAUGCAAGUCGAGGGGCAUCAGGAAGAAAGCUUGCUUUCUUUGCUGGCGACCGGCGCACGGGUGAGUAACACGUAUCCAACCUGCCCUUUACUCGGGGAUAGCCUUUCGAAAGAAAGAUUAAUACCCGAUAGCAUAAUGAUUCCGCAUGGUUUCAUUAUUAAAGGAUUCCGGUAAGGGAUGGGGAUGCGUUCCAUUAGGUUGUUGGUGAGGUAACGGCUCACCAAGCCUUCGAUGGAUAGGGGUUCUGAGAGGAAGGUCCCCCACAUUGGAACUGAGACACGGUCCAAACUCCUACGGGAGGCAGCAGUGAGGAAUAUUGGUCAAUGGGCGCUAGCCUGAACCAGCCAAGUAGCGUGAAGGAUGAAGGCUCUAUGGGUCGUAAACUUCUUUUAUAUAAGAAUAAAGUGCAGUAUGUAUACUGUUUUGUAUGUAUUAUAUGAAUAAGGAUCGGCUAACUCCGUGCCAGCAGCCGCGGUAAUACGGAGGAUCCGAGCGUUAUCCGGAUUUAUUGGGUUUAAAGGGAGCGUAGGUGGACUGGUAAGUCAGUUGUGAAAGUUUGCGGCUCAACCGUAAAAUUGCAGUUGAUACUGUCAGUCUUGAGUACAGUAGAGGUGGGCGGAAUUCGUGGUGUAGCGGUGAAAUGCUUAGAUAUCACGAAGAACUCCGAUUGCGAAGGCAGCUCACUGGACUGCAACUGACACUGAUGCUCGAAAGUGUGGGUAUCAAACAGGAUUAGAUACCCUGGUAGUCCACACAGUAAACGAUGAAUACUCGCUGUUUGCGAUAUACAGUAAGCGGCCAAGCGAAAGCAUUAAGUAUUCCACCUGGGGAGUACGCCGGCAACGGUGAAACUCAAAGGAAUUGACGGGGGCCCGCACAAGCGGAGGAACAUGUGGUUUAAUUCGAUGAUACGCGAGGAACCUUACCCGGGCUUAAAUUGCAGUGGAAUGAUGUGGAAACAUGUCAGUGAGCAAUCACCGCUGUGAAGGUGCUGCAUGGUUGUCGUCAGCUCGUGCCGUGAGGUGUCGGCUUAAGUGCCAUAACGAGCGCAACCCUUAUCUUCAGUUACUAACAGGUCAUGCUGAGGACUCUGGAGAGACUGCCGUCGUAAGAUGUGAGGAAGGUGGGGAUGACGUCAAAUCAGCACGGCCCUUACGUCCGGGGCUACACACGUGUUACAAUGGGGGGUACAGAAGGCAGCUAGCGGGUGACCGUAUGCUAAUCCCAAAAUCCUCUCUCAGUUCGGAUCGAAGUCUGCAACCCGACUUCGUGAAGCUGGAUUCGCUAGUAAUCGCGCAUCAGCCACGGCGCGGUGAAUACGUUCCCGGGCCUUGUACACACCGCCCGUCAAGCCAUGGGAGCCGGGGGUACCUGAAGUACGUAACCGCAAGGAUCGUCCUAGGGUAAAACUGGUGACUGGGGC
rnacentral:rRNA from 1 species